AUGGCUGUCCUGGUGCUGCUCCUCUGCCUGGUGACAUUUCCAAGCUAUAUUCUGUCGCAGAUAAAGCUGAAGGAGUCAGGAACUGGUCUAGUGCAGCCAUCACAGACCCUGUCACUCACCUGCACUGUUUCUGGAUUCUCAUUAACUAACUAUGAUUUACACUGGAUCCGUCAGCCUCCAGGAAAGGGUCUGGAGUGGAUGGGAGUAAUAUGGGCUAGUGGAAACACAAAGUACAAUUCAGCUCUCCAGUCCCGAAUCACCAUCACCAGAGAUACCUCCAAAAGCCAAGCUUUCUUAAAACUGAACAGUGUUCAAACUGAGGACACAGCCAUGUAUUUCUGUGCCAGAAACACACCGUGA